UAAUGACAAGAAGAUCGGUGUGAAAC
rnacentral:piRNA from 2 species